GGCACUAUGGCGGAGUGGUUAUCGCGUGGCACUCGAAUCUUUCUGCAUUCGAGGGGAAUUCUUCCCCACUCAACAAAAGCAUAUGCCAUUCCCUCUGGGAGCACAGGUUCAAAUCCUGUUGGUGUCG
rfam:Pseudozyma antarctica T-34 DNA, contig: scaffold00007.